ACUAACGCUGGCGGCGUGCUUAACCCAUGCAAGUCGCACGGAAAGGCCCUGCUUUUGUGGGGUGCUCGAGUGGCGAACGGGUGAGUAACACGUGAGUAACCUGCCCUUGACUUUGGGAUAACUUCAGGAAACUGGGGCUAAUACCGGAUAGGAGCUCCUGCUGCAUGGUGGGGGUUGGAAAGUUUCGGCGGUUGGGGAUGGACUCGCGGCUUAUCAGCUUGUUGGUGGGGUAGUGGCUUACCAAGGCUUUGACGGGUAGCCGGCCUGAGAGGGUGACCGGCCACAUUGGGACUGAGAUACGGCCCAGACUCCUACGGGAGGCAGCAGUGGGGAAUAUUGCACAAUGGGCGGAAGCCUGAUGCAGCAACGCCGCGUGCGGGAUGACGGCCUUCGGGUUGUAAACCGCUUUCGCCUGUGACGAAGCGUGAGUGACGGUAAUGGGUAAAGAAGCACCGGCUAACUACGUG
rnacentral:rRNA from 1 species